UACAGAGGGUGCGAGCGUUGUCCGGAAUCACUGGGCGUAAAGGGCGCGUAGGUGGCCCGACAAGUCAAUGGUGAAAGUUCGACGCUUAACGUCGAAUCGGCCACUGAUACUGUUGGGCUGGAGCACUGUAGAGGCUCAUGGAAUUCCGGGUGUAGCGGUGGAAUGCGUAGAGAUCCGGAAGAACACCGGUGGCGAAGGCGGUGAGCUGGGCAGUUGCUGACACUGAGGCGCGACAGCGUGGGGAGCGAACAGG
rnacentral:rRNA from 1 species